UGGGUCUCAUGAAGGCUGUUCGGCCAGACAGCUGCGAACGGUUGAUGGCGCCGCGGAGUGCCAAGGAGAGGCCGGUUCCCUAGGCGAGGGUGCACUUCCGAGUAACCCGGUCCAUCUGGAGGCAGGCAUCAAGCUAGGCAUGCGGUCCAUCCCCAUCUCCACAAAGUUCACCAUUUAUUGUAAGUUCUCCUGUGAGAUCAACCUGGAUGCAUAUGGCCUCUACCUGGUCGCCAUGUCUUCAGUUAACUUGGCCGGAAAAGUAGAGGAGCAACACUUGCUUACUCGUGACAUCAUCAACGUACCACACAGGUCCUUUACCCCGGGCAGUGAGCCGUUGGAGCUGGAUUCCCGCUUCUGGGAGCUAUGAGACAGCAUUGUACAAUGUGAACUUCUUAUGCUACGAGUUCUGAGCUUCCAAGUCUCUUUCCAGCAUCCACACAAGUACCUGCUGAACUACUUGAUUUCCCUCAAGAACUGGCUGAAUCGUUACAGCUGGCAAUGAACCCCCAUCUCUGUUACAGCUUGGGCUCUGCCACGAGAUAGCUACCAUGGGGGGGGGGGAGGCGGGGGGCUAUGCCUCUGCUUCCAGGCUCAGCACCUAGCCCUGGCUGUGCUCUACCUGGCCCAACAGGUUUACGGGGUCGAGGUGCCUGCAGAGGGUGAGGCCGAGAAGCCUUGGUAGCAGGUAUUUAGUGAUGACUUUACCAGUAUUGUGUCUGAUCUCAUUCAGAUUUAUACAAUGGAUACAGAGGUCCCCUAAGGCCCUGGCCGAGGCCGGACCAAAGACCAGGAUGAUCGGAGGCUUGGGGUAUUGUUCCACCAAGUUGGCGUGUCUCUACUCGGAGGACUGGUUGUGCUCGCAGAGGAUGUCACUGUUGACUGCAAUGACAUGCUGUCAUUUUGUCCCCAGCAGCCCUUGUUCAAAUAAUGCCAAGAACCUCUUUGUGGGCAGGACAUAUAGAGCUUUCUAGAAUUGGCUGCAUCAGCUUUUGCCCAUUGAGAAGAUGCUGCAUUUGAGGCAUGGAUCAUUGCAGGUCGCCAACAGGAAAGUUAAAGAAUAGGACUGCACCCUUAGGGGAAGUAUGAAUGUGUAACAUAGAAUCUUAUUUUGUAUAAUAAAGAUUAUGCAAAUAAAAUAUAGGAAAGGUUUAUUGCA